rnacentral:rRNA from 1 species
AGGUUUCCGUAGGUGAACCUGCGGAAGGAUCAUUAACGAACAACGGGGUUCGCCCCUUGUCCACAAACACACCCCCGUGCACGUUGAAGGCCCGGCUCGUUGAGUGGGUGGGCGACCGCCCAGGAUUCGUAGCCUCGCUUUCUUACACAAACUUCAGAAUGUACAUCAGAAUGUCUUACGCGUGUAACGCAUCGUAAUAUAACUUUCAGCAACGGAUCUCUUGGCUCUCGCAUCGAUGAAGAACGCAGCGAAAUGCGAUAAGUAAUGUGAAUUGCAGAAUUCAGUGAAUCAUCGAAUCUUUGAACGCACCUUGCGCUCCUUGGCAUUCCGAGGAGCAUGCCUGUUUGAGUGUCAUGAAACUCUCAACCCCUGCCAUCUUUGCGGAUGAGCGUCGGUUGGAUUUUGGAGGUUGCCGGACUCGUUCGGCUCCUCUUGAAAGCAUAGUAAAGCUUGGACCUGACCGACCGGGUGGACGUGAUAGAAAGUCACCGUCGACCGAAGGGUCCGUCGCUGAACGGUUCAAGCUUUGUUUGUCGUCUUCGGACGAAC